GACGAACGCUGGCGGCGUGCUUAACACAUGCAAGUCGAACGGAAAGGCCCUGCUUUUGUGGGGUGCUCGAGUGGCGAACGGGUGAGUAACACGUGAGUAACCUGCCCUUGACUUUGGGAUAACUUCAGGAAACUGGGGCUAAUACCGGAUAGGAGCUCCUGCUGCAUGGUGGGGGUUGGAAAGUUUCGGCGGUUGGGGAUGGACUCGCGGCUUAUCAGCUUGUUGGUGGGGUAGUGGCUUACCAAGGCUUUGACGGGUAGCCGGCCUGAGAGGGUGACCGGCCACAUGGGGACUGGGAUACGGCCCAGACCCCUAGGGGGGGCAAGGGGGGGGAAUAUUGCAAAAGGGGCGGAAGCCUGAUGCAGAAACGCCGGGGGGGGGAGGAGGGCCUUGGGGUUGUAAACCGCUUUCGCCUGGGACGAAGCGUGAGUGACGGUAAUGGGAAAAGAAGCACCGGCUAACUACGG
rnacentral:rRNA from 1 species